AACGAACGCUGGCGGCAUGCCUAACACAUGCAAGUCGAACGAGACCUUCGGGUCUAGUGGCGCACGUCUGCGUAACGACGGGGAACCUGCCCUUAGGUUCUGAAUAACUCCCCGUAAGGGGUGCCAAUACCGGUUAAUGUCUUCGGACAAAAGAUUUAUCGCCUUUGGAUGGGUGCGCGUUAGAUUAGCUAGGUGGUAGGGUAAAAGCCUACCUAGGCGACGAUCCAUGGCUGUUCUGUGAGGAGGAUCAGUCACAAUGGGAAUGAGACACGGCCCACACUCCUACGGAGGGCAGCAGUGGGUAGUAUUAGGGGAGGAGGGAUGGCCUAGUCCAGCAAUGCCGGGUAAGUGAUGAAGGCCUUAGGGUUGUAAAGUUCUUUUACCCGAGAUGAUAAUGACAGUACCGGGAGAAUAAGCUCCGGCUAACUCCGUG
rnacentral:rRNA from 1 species